UUGCAGUGAAGCACUCCUUUGGUAGCCUACUGAAACAUUUGUCUUGAUUAUAUAUUCAAGUGUUUGCACCAUGGGAGUUGAAGCCACAACCUUCUGAAGCGGAGGAAAAAAACUUGGAAACAGAACUGUGAUGAAGUGUUCGAAAGCUGAACAUGUAAUUUUGAAAAGAGAUGAAGAGAGAAGACGCUGGACAAACAUGGUCAUAGGAUUCAACCUGAUGGGAGAUUGUGAUUCGAUGGAGCAAGAUGCCAGGGCCUUCUGAGGAUUGAUGGCGGAAGAAGUUUGGCAUGAGACCCCAAAUUCUCAGGACUUGCUACAAGGGCACCAUGGAGAGCAUCCUAACUGGUUAUGUCACUGCAAGUUCAUGUGAUGAAGGUCAGCUAACGUACUCUUGGACAACAAGUUCCGGCAAAUAGACCAAUUGUGCUGAAGUUAUACAACAUGGUCUGAAGCAAAAACAAACUGCUGGAAGAACUCAGUGGCUUGAGCACCUCCUGUGGGAUGAGAGGAAAUAUCACCAUCUCAGGUCAAAACCUUGGAUCAGGACUUGCAACAUGGGCUUAAACACCCUUCCGCUUUGCUACUGAUCCCUUCAAGAACUGUUGGUGAUGAUCACCUCAUGGGUAAGCAUGUUGCUGACUUCCUGCAGUGCAAUCAAUGAUCCAGCAGUGGUGCAUUCAUGUACUCAACUGAGGGCUGGAUGCUUUUUGCAUUUGGUUCCUCAGUUUUACACUCUCCAUGUCAUAGAGUCAUAGAAAAGUACAGCACAGAAAAAGGCCCUUCAGAACAUCUAGCCUGUGCUGAACAACUUAAACUGCCUACUGCUAUCGAUCUACACCGGGACUAUAACUCUCCAUACCAUUACCUUCCAUGUACCUAUCCAAACUUCUCUUUGAAUGUUGAAAUUGAGCUUGCAUGCACCACUUGCAAUGGCAGCUAGUUCCACAUUCCCAUGAUCCCUCAGUGAAGAAGUUUCUCCUCAUGUUCCCCUUAAACUUUUCACCUUUCACCCUUAACCCAUGACCUCUAGUUGAAGUCCCACCCGACCUAAGUAGACAAAGCCUGCUUGCAUUUACCCUAUCUAUACCCCUCAUAAUUUUCUAUACCUCUAUCAAAUCUCCUCUCAAUCAUCUAUGUUCUGAGGAAUAAAGUCCUAAAUUAUUCAAUCUUUCCAUAUAAGUCAGGUCCUCCAGACCUGGCAAUAUCCUUGUAAAUUUUCUCUGCAGUAUUUCAAUCUUAUUUACAUUUUUCCUGUAGGUGGGUGACCAAAACUGCAAACAAUAUUCCACAUUAGGCCUCACUGAUAUCUUAUAUAGUAUCAACAUAACAUCUCAUCUCCUGUUCUCAUUACUUUGAUUUAUGAAGGCUAAUGUGCCAAAGCUUUACUUAUGGUCCUAUCCACCUGUGACAUCACUUUAUGGGCCUGUAUUCCCAGAUCCCUUUGUUCCAUCGCACUCCUCAGUGCCCUACCAUUCACUGUGUAAGACCUAUCCCAGUUGGUCUGCUGAAGUCAAACACCUCGCACUUAUCUGCAUUAAUUUCCAUCUGCGAUUUUUUAGCCAUUUUUUCCAGUUUGUCCAGAUCCUGCUGCAAGCCAUGAUAGGCUUCCUUGCUGUCCAAUACACUAGUUGACCACAUUAUCAUCCACAUCGUUGAUACAGAUGACAAACAUCAACUGACUUAGCACUGAACCCUGCAGCACUCUACUAGUGACAGUCCCUCCAGUCAGACAGGCUAUCAUUUAUUACACUUGCUGGCUUCUCCCACAAAGCCAAUGUCUAAACCAAUUUACUACCUUAUCUUGAGUGCCAUGCGACUGAACCUUCUUGACUAAGCUCCCAUGUGGGACCUUGUCAAAUGCCUUGCUAAAGCCCAUGCAGACAACAUUUACUGCCUUGCCUUCAUCAACUUUCCUGGUAGUUUGGUUAGACAUGAUCUAACACGCACAAAGCUAUGCUAUCUAUUCAAAUACUUAUAAAUCCAGUCUCUCAGAAUAUCUUCCAAUAAUUUUCCCACUACUGAUGUCCGGCUCACUGGCCUAUAAUUUCCUGGUUUAUUUUUACAGCCUUUCGAAAACAGCGGAUGAACAUCAGUUAUUCUCCAAUCCUCUGGUACUUCACCUGUCGCUAAGGAUGAUUUAAAUAUCUCUGGUAGGGCCCCUGCAAUUUCUGCACUUACCUCCCGCAAGGUCCCAUUCUUUGGAACAGGGCUGCUGAUAUUGAUGAGAAAGUUCAGCAAAGUUGAUGAUUUAUUCUUUUUUUGUUACUUAACAUUAAAUUUAAAAUAAAAUUUCAGUAGCUUAAUGUAUUUUAAUCAUAUUAAGUUGUUUUAUUUUGAUUAUUUUAAACUGAUGGAACUGUUGAACAGUAGGGAGAUUUAAAAAUAGUUCAAAAGCAAUUGCCAGUAGCUAGCU